rnacentral:rRNA from 1 species
UACGUAGGGGGCUAGCGUUGUCCGGAAUCAUUGGGCGUAAAGCGCACGUAGGCGGCCUCACAAGUCGGAUGUGAAAUCCCGUGGCUCAACCAUGGACGUGCAUUCGAAACUGCGAGGCUUGAGUAUGGAAGAGGGUCGCGGAAUUCCCGGUGUAGAGGUGAAAUUCGUAGAUAUCGGGAGGAACACCAGUGGCGAAGGCGGCGACCUGGGCCAAUACUGACGCUGAGGUGCGAAAGCGUGGGGAGCAAACAGG